CCUACGGGGGGCAGCAGUGGGGAAUAUUGGACAAUGGGCGCAAGCCUGAUCCAGCCACGCCGCGUGAGUGAUGAAGGCCUUCGGGUUGUAAAGCUCUGUGGGGAGAGGCGAAAACAGUCAGCAAGAAACGGCUGAUUCUUGACGGUAUCUCCUUAGCAAGCACCGGCUAACUCUGUGCCAGCAGCCGCGGUAAUACAGAGGGUGCGAACGUUGCUCGGAAUUACUGGGCGUAAAGCGCGUGUAGGCGGACCGGUAAGUCAGAUGUGAAAUCCCUGGGCUCAACCCAGGAACUGCAUUUGAAACUGCUGGUCUAGAGUAUCGGAGAGGGUGGCGGAAUUCCUGGUGUAGAGGUGAAAUUCGUAGAUAUCAGGAGGAACACCGGUGGCGAAGGCGGCCACCUGGACGGUCACUGACGCUGAGACGCGAAAGCGUGGGGAGCAAACAGGAUUAGAUACCCCGGUAGUC
rnacentral:rRNA from 1 species